rnacentral:rRNA from 1 species
UGGGGAAUAUUGGACAAUGGGCGCAAGCCUGAUCCAGCAAUGCCGCGUGUGUGAAGAAGGCCUGCGGGUUGUAAAGCACUUUAAGCAGGAAAGAAGGCUUCGGAGUUAAUACCUUCGAAGAUUGACGUUACCUGCAGAAUAAGCACCGGCUAACUCCGUG